rnacentral:rRNA from 1 species
GAUGAACGCUGGCGGCGUGCCUAAUACAUGCAAGUCGAGCGAACAGACGAGGAGCUUGCUCCUCUGACGUUAGCGGCGGACGGGUGAGUAACACGUGGAUAACCUACCUAUAAGACUGGGAUAACUUCGGGAAACCGGAGCUAAUACCGGAUAAUAUAUUGAACCGCAUGGUUCAAUAGUGAAAGACGGUUUUGCUGUCACUUAUAGAUGGAUCCGCGCCGCAUUAGCUAGUUGGUAAGGUAACGGCUUACCAAGGCAACGAUGCGUAGCCGACCUGAGAGGGGGAUCGGCCACACUGGAACUGAGACACGGUCCAGACUCCUAGGGGGGGCAGCAGGAGGGAAUCUUCCGCAAGGGGCGAAAGCCUGACGGAGCAACCCCGGGGGAGUGAUGAAGGUCUUCGGAUCGUAAAACUCUGUUAUUAGGAAAAAACAAAUUUGUAAGUAACCAUGCCCGUUUUGAGGGUACCUAACCAAAAAGCCACGGCUAACUACGU